GAUGAACGCUGGCGGCGUGCUUAACACAUGCAAGUCGAACGAUGAAGCCCAGCUUGCUGGGUGGAUUAGUGGCGAACGGGUGAGCAACACGUGAGUAACCUGCCCUUAACUCUGGGAUAAGCCUGGGAAACUGGGUCUAGUACCGGAUAGGAGCGUCCACCGCAUGGUGGGUGUUGGAAAGAUUUAUCGGUUUUGGAUGGACUCGCGGCCUAUCAGCUUGUUGGUGAGGUAAUGGCUCACCAAGGCGACGACGGGUAGCCGGCCUGAGAGGGUGACCGGCCACACUGGGACUGAGACACGGCCCAGACUCCUACGGGAGGCAGCAGUGGGGAAUAUUGCACAAUGGGCGCAAGCCUGAUGCAGCGACGCCGCGUGAGGGAUGACGGCCUUCGGGUUGUAAACCUCUUUCAGCAGGGAAGAAGCGAAAGUGACGGUACCUGCAGAAGAAGCACCGGCUAACUACGUG
rnacentral:rRNA from 1 species